AAUAAAUACUUAUUUUGAUAAAUCUGUAUAACCUGUUAAUAGUGAAAAUAAUCUUAAUCCCUUUUUUAUAAGUAUCUAAUAAAGAAAUUUUAAUCUUAAAUAAUAGUUGACAAGUACUGUAAAGGAAAGUUGAAAUACGUGAAAAUUUAACUUAAUGAUAGUAUAUUUAUAGAUUAGUACCUUGUGUUUCAGGGAACUUAAAAUUAAACCUUCGAAAUAGGUAAUCCCGAAAUUUAGUGAGCUAGCUUAUUAUCAAUAGUUAACGUAGUAUAGUUAUUAUAAAUAAUUUGCUAGAAGUGAAAUUCUAUACGCACUAAUAGGUAUCUGGUUUUUUAAUAAAUGAAUUUAAUUCAGCCUUUAGAAACGACGUUUCUAAAUAGUAAAAAUAGGAGGGAAAAGCUUCUUAUUUAAUAAUAGUCAAAUUAUAGGUAGUUAAAAGUGUACUAUAUUUAUCUAGGCUUAAAAUCAGUCAAGUUUUAAAAUCGUUAUAGAUUAUUUAUUAAAAACUUAAUAUUUAAAAUUACCUCAGUCAAAUUUAUUAAAAAGCUCAAUGAAAUUAUUCACUUAUGAUCAUAAUUAAGUUAUUAGUAUAAAAUAUUUUGUAAACUAAAAUCGCUAGUCUAACGCUCGCAUAUUUUUCAAAGGAUUUAAUUGUACUAAGGAACUCGGCAAUCAUUCCUUCUGCCUGUUUAUCAAAAACAUGUCCAUAUGAUAAAACGGUUUAUAUGGUCUGGCCUGCCCACUGAUAUAUAAUUAAAGGGCCGCGGUAUUUUGACCGUGCGAAGGUAGCAUAAUAAUUAGUCUCCUAAUUAGAGGCUUGUAUGAAUGGUCGGACAAGAUGGAAACUGUCUCAGUACAAAAUAUAAAAUUUAAUAUUUAAGUAAAAAAGCUUAAAUGAAAUGAAGUGACGAUAAGACCCUAUAAAGCUUUAUAGUAAUUUCUUUUUAUUCAGAUUAUAAAAUGUUAACCUUUCUAAAGACUAUUACUAUUUUACUGGGGCGGUAGAAGUAUAUUUAUGAUUAACUGCUUUUGUUUUGAUUAACAAUAAUAAUUGAAUAAUUAUGUGAUCCAUUAUUAAUGAUCAAAAGUACAAGUUACUUUAGGGAUAACAGCGUAAUUUUUCUUGAGAGUCCUCAUCGAAAGAAAAGUUUGCGACCUCGAUGUUGAAUUAAGGAAGCCUUAAGGUGCAGCAGUUUUAUAGGCAGAUCUGUUCGAUCUUUAAAUCCUUACAUGAUUUGAGUUCAGACCGGCGUAAGCCAGGUUGGUUUCUAUCUUUCAUUAGUUAAAAAUUUACUUUAGUACGAAAGGAUUUAGUAAAUCAAAUAUUUUGUUUUAAGGUUGAGCCCCACUAACU
rnacentral:rRNA from 1 species